CCAAAUUAAUUAAUUAAUAACAAAAAAAAUUUUUAAAAAGAUUUAAAAAAAUUAAAAUCAUUAUCUGGGCAUCUGGAGACUGGACUUCUUUGGGAAGUUGGGCUCCUUUUAACUCAGGAGGUGUGUGAACUUCAAAUGAAAUGAUGUCGGAUGUGAAGGUGCUGAGGUUAUCACAGGGCUGUGGUGUGAGACGAGGUAGCCCUCUGGGCGGAGUGCGGAGGCUGCUGGCCUCAAUCCCCAGUGGAGCUGGUCAGUCUGAGAACAGUCGAUGAGGAACCUUCGAGGGUGGGCUCCUCGUGUUGGUCGGCCUCUGUGAAGCUCAGUGAUCGCGAACUUUAGUUUUAAAAGGGAAAAGUAUUAGUUUUUCUGUUGGAGUCUUUUCUGGAUUGGUGUUCUGUAAUGUUUUCUGUUCUGCACAAACAUGAAUACAUAUUUAUGGCUAAAUUAAUACCGAUGAUAAAACAAAAGUGUUGUUUGGUUCAGGGAAGGGGGAAUUUAGUUUCCUCUUGUAAGUAAUGAGGUCUGAGAUCACACGAGGAAGAGGCACAGAAGGUGCUCAGAGCCAUGGCUGGGGGUUGCCCACGGUGCUGGAACCCGUCCUGUGUUCUCAGCCCACUGGGCAGAGCUGGCAGCUUCUCCCCAUUUCGUGGGUGAGGAAACUGAGGCUUAGAGAUUUGAGUCGGGUGUCAUACAGCUAGCGUGUGGAUUCUCUGUCUCCAAAAUCAAAUCUUAAUACAAAUUAGGAAGUUGAACACUGGAGGUGAAUGGAAUUCGGAAAAGUCUUUCAUUUCUCCGUUACACAGGCUGAGCCGAAGGUCAGGGAGCUGGGGGUCCGGUCCAGGUGCCCCGGCCCGUGGCCUCGCGGGUGGGUGUCAGGAGGGAGGGUUGGUCCCGUCCUCUGCGCAGGCCCGCGGGGACUUUCUGACAGCGGCCCGGGAACGAGAAGCCCUCCGCUCGCCGCUCUUCUGGUUGAAGCCGCCGCAGGUCCGUCUCUGUGCUGCUUUCCUGGGUGGAAGCCUGAGGACAGUGAAGCAGCCCGGGAAGUGGCCGGCGGCCCUGCCCUUGCGAGCGGGCUCCGUUACCGGGUCUGGGUCUGGUAAAGUCACUCGGGCGGUGGACGUCGUCCCGGGUGUUGCACCUCCCUGUGGUCGCGGGCCUUGGAGACGAGGUCUCCUACCCGCUUCAGCGAUGCCCCGCGUGCGCUGCCCAUCGCCACCCAGUGAGGAUCAGAGCUCUUCUUGUGUGUUGACGUGUUUCUUCCUCCCAUGAGCCUCGAGGAAAGCAGCACCACUCCUGCUUUACCAGCGAGGAAACAGGCGCGGAGGGUUCCCACGGGGGGAGCGACGGACUUCUGGCCCCGCGCGCUGACCAGAUGCUCUGCCCGGUGCCCCGUGUGGCCCGGAGAGGGGAGCAGGGCCUGCGGGGUGUCCGCGGCUGGUUCAAGAGGCAGGUGUGACCCGCACCCAACAGGGGGCAGGACUCGGGUGGUCCUGCCAUCAGGAGGAACAGGGAGGUGUGGACCCAGGGGACGUGGGGACCACCUGCAUUGUCACCUCCCGGCUGCACCUGAGCUGCCGGGCCCUGCGGCUGCCACCUUGCCCAUUUUUUCCCUUCAGGUGCCUCACGCAGUGAGGACUCUAAAGGCUGAGACUGCACAGCCGUCAUUCUGUUAGUUACAGCAGGAAGCUCGGUGAUGUGUUCUAACUUAAUAGGUAGGACACCUGUUACUACCUUCCCUCUGAAGUUGGCUUUGUUGCCUAUAAAGUUGGCUCAUUACCCUGAGAGAUGUGCCUGCUUUGCAUGUGGUGUCUUUGGAGAUGAAAAAUCCCCUCCACUGCAGGGCGGCCGGCCGUCGUCACCUGGCUUUCAGAACGAACCUUGUUUCCUUCUCUUCCUUAUCUGCUUGUCUCCCUCGUGGUGGUAGUUUUCUCACUGUGGGAAGCUAGGUGUCUCAGGAGUGUCUCAACAGUCCUUUGAUGUGUGCCGCGUCCCUCUGUCGCUCAGAGCCUCCAGCGUUUAGAAGGCAUGUCUGCCUUCAGUUCAAGGCUGCAGUCUCCUGGGGUCUCGGUCCAGCAGGGUGAGAGGUACAGUCCCACAGCGCUGUCAGUUGAAAUCAGGUCUUGUUUGCGUGCUUUUUUCUUGGAGUCAUCUUUGUGGGUUUUGAGCGUACGUAUCGUUUAAGCCUCGAGGUCAGAGAAGGCCAUGCUUUCUGAAGAUGUGGGGUGGCUUUCGAGGGGCAGCAGAGACACAUGAUGUUUUCAGCUCCUUGAAAAGGUAGAACUUUAACUCAUCUCAACUCGGUUUUUAUAAUCACCUGCAGAAACAAGUAAUCUUAUGUAAAAAAGGGGAGAGAGAAACUUGGACAUUAAAUUAUUUACCCCUGAUCCCAAAGCGGCCUGGCUGACAUCGUCUGGAGAGGUGUGGACAAGCAGACACAUCAGAGAGAAAAGAAUGUCUGGAAAGACAUGUUCCCUGCCUUGCACCCAGCCCUCUGGGCAGCAGAGCUUGCUCUGGAAGCACAGGACUCCUCUGACCCUGUUGGAUUUCAGCUACUCUGACCUACGACACUCUCCGAUUUGCUGAGUUUGAAGAUUUCCCCGAAACCUCGGAGCCUCUUUGGAUCCUGGGUAGAAAGUACAGCAUCUUCACAGAAAAGGACGAGAUCUUGGCCGAUGUGGCGUCGAGACUUUGGUUUACAUACAGGAAGAACUUCCCGGCCAUUGGGGGCACCGGCCCCACCUCGGACACGGGCUGGGGCUGCAUGCUGCGGUGUGGACAGAUGAUCUUUGCCCAAGCCCUGGUGUGCCGGCACCUGGGCCGAGACUGGAGGUGGACGCGGCGGACGAGGCAGCCGGACAGCUACUUCAGCGUCCUGCACGAGUUCCUGGACAGGAAGGACAGCUGCUACUCCAUCCACCAGAUAGCACAAAUGGGAGUCGGCGAGGGCAAGUCCAUCGGCCAGUGGUACGGGCCCAACACCGUCGCCCAGGUCCUCAAGAAGCUCGCCGUCUUCGACACGUGGAGCGCCCUGGCCGUUCACGUAGCGAUGGACAACACGGUGGUGAUGGAGGACAUCAGAAGGUUGUGCGGGAGCAGCCUGCCUUGUGCCGGGGCCGCAGCGCUUCCUGCAGGUUCCGAGCCGCGCUGUAACGGGCUCCCGGCCGGCCCUGAGGUCGCCAGCAGGCCGUCACCAUGGAGACCGCUGGUGCUGCUGGUCCCGCUGCGCCUGGGGCUCACGGACAUCAAUGCGGCCUACGCGGAGACCCUGAAGCACUGCUUCAUGAUGCCCCAGUCCCUGGGAGUGAUCGGAGGGAAGCCCAACAGUGCCCGCUACUUCAUCGGCUACGUGGGUGAGGAACUCAUCUACCUGGACCCUCACACCACGCAGCCAGCCCUGCAGGCCUCUGAGCACUGCCCGAUCCCGGACGAGAGCUUCCACUGCCAGCACCCGCCCAGCAGGAUGAGCAUCGCAGAGCUCGACCCGUCCAUCGCCGUGGGCUUUUUCUGUGGGACCGAGGACGACUUUAACGACUGGUGCCAGCAAGUGAAAAAGCUGUCCCUCCUUGGAGGCGCGCUGCCAAUGUUUGAGCUGGUGGAGCGGCAGCCUUCCCACUUGGCCUGUCCUGACGUCCUGAACUUGUCCUUAGGUCCCGUCCCAGUUGCCUUUGACCUUUCACGCUGUGCGGCCCCUCAGCAGCCCCUCGUGAGUGGGGCCAGGGACGCUGCUGGUGCUGCCCUCCCUCCUCCCACCCGCUUGGGCCAGCACACCCGCAGCCCGCCCGGGCCCUUCCGCGCUCCUCCCGUGGCCCCUGGUCCUGACAGCCGGACCAGGCCAGGCUUCCUGUGCUGAUGUGGCAUAGGUGGCUCCGUCCCCACUGCCCGGUGGCUCUGGGCUUGGGGGCGCCUCCCCCAGAGUGCAUCAAAUGCUUCUGACGUAGAGCGACUGGAAAGAUUCUUUGACUCAGAAGAUGAAGACUUUGAAAUCUUGUCCCUUUGAGGAUCCUGCAGUUGGGGGACGGUCUCACUGGCCCUGCAGGGGCGCUCGGCCGCCGCAUCUCAUCCCGCCCGCCGCCGCCCGCCCGCCUGCCGCCCACAAAGAGGCCCGCGCCGCUGGAGACCCAAGCGCCAGACACGCACGAGGGGCUCUCCCGCCACACUGCCAGCCCUGCCCAGCCCCGCUUCCUCCUGGGCUCCAGGCCCGGGUUCGCUUUGGAAUUAAAGUCCUGUUUGAAGUUUCGUGACGGACAUGGCUUCUGUUGGGCGUGUCCUGAGCCAGGCUCCGAAGACGUGGCCUCCAGGGCCAUCGCGGCGGGAGAAGGGGCCGAGGAACCACGGCCUGGGCCUCCUCGCAUUGGGAGGAGAGGAGCAAGGGGUGGGGGCGGUGAGGCCCAAAGACAUCGCCGUGCAGGUGGCACCGGGACAGACGCGCCGCCAGAGCCGCAGGUGAGGCCGUGGGGCCCCCGAGCUGCUGCUUGCCUGUCGCUCCAGCAUCCCCGGGGCCUUCUUCCGCCUCCCGGUCAGCGAGGCUUCAGAUGGUUUGGGGCCGGAGGGUCAAACCUCAGCUUUGUGCCUCUGCCCCUCGCGCCCGCUGGAGACCUUCUGGACGGACGCCAGCACCCGCCUCCUUCAUUCAACCUGUGUUCUGGGCCCCGGGCACCGCCGCACGCAGUGGCUUUUGUCCCACCAGGGAGCGCAGGCGGGGGUUUGGGAGCCCAGGAGGUGGCAGCCUUCUCCCCGGGGGCCUUCCUUGCGGAGCCCUCGCCGGCCCAGCGAGCGAGCAGAGGGCAUCCCGGCCCCCCAAGUGUUGCUGACGUGAGUGCUUCCCUCCAUCUC